GAUGAACGCUAGCGGCAGGCUUAAUACACGCAAGUCGAGGGGUAGCAAGAUUGUAGCAAUACAAUUGUUGACGACCGGCAAACGGGUGCGGAACACGUACACAACCUUCCUACAAGUGGGGAAUAGCCCAGAGAAAUUUGGAUUAAUACCCCGUAACAUAGCGAUGUGGCAUCACAUUGCUAUUAUAGCUUCGGCGCUUGUUGAUGGGUGUGCGGCUGAUUAGAUAGUUGGCGGGGUAACGGCCCACCAAGUCUACGAUCAGUAGCUGAUGUGAGAGCAUGAUCAGCCGCACGGGCACUGAGACACGGGCCCGACUCCUACGGGAGGCAGCAGUAAGGAAUAUUGGACAAUGGACGCAAGUCUGAUCCAGCCAUGCCGCGUGAAGGAUUAAGGUCCUCUGGAUUGUAAACUUCUUUUAUAAGGGACGAAAAAAGGUCUUUCUAGAUCGUCUGACGGUACCUUAUGAAUAAGCACCGGCUAACUCCGUGCCAGCCGCCGCAGUAACAC
rnacentral:rRNA from 1 species